UGGGGAAUAUUGCACAAUGGAGGGAACUCUGAUGCAGCGACGCCGCCUGAGUGAUGAAGGAAUUCGUUUCGUAAAACUCUGUUCUAUGGGAAGAAAAGGACUGUACCAUAGGAGAAAGCUCCGGCUAAAUACGUGCCAGCAGCCGCGGUAAUACGUAUGGAGCGAGCGUUGUCCGGAAUUAUUGGGCGUAAAGGGUGCGCAGGCGGCUUUACAAGUUGGAUGUGAAAUAUUGUGGCUCAACCACAAACGUGCAUCCAAAACUGCAAAGCUUGAGUUAAGGAGAGGUAAGUGGAAUUCCUGGUGUAGCGGUGGAAUGCGUAGAUAUCAGGAGGAAUACCGGUGGCGAAGGCGACUUACUGGACUUAAACUGACGCUCAGGCACGAAAGCGUGGGGAGCAAACAGG
rnacentral:rRNA from 1 species